GUCCUCUUGUGUUUUAUGUGAGGUCAUACCUGCCCAGUGAAUUUAUUUUAACGGCCGCGGUAUCUUGACCGUGCAAAGGUAGCAUAAUCAUUAGUCUUUUAAUAGAAGGCUGGAAUGAAGGGUUUGACGAAGUACCAUCUGUCUCAAUUUAAUAUUAUUGAAUUUAACCUUUGAGUUAAAAGGCUCAAAUUUUUUUGUAGGACGAGAAGACCCUAUAGAGCUUUAAGGUUUAUUUGUAUUAACUGUUUUUAUUUUAUUUUUUAGGCUAUUAUUUGGGCUUUUUUGUUGGGGUGACAAGAGAUAUAUAAUUAACUUUUAUUAUUUAUUAUACAUUUAUUUAUGGUUUUUAGAUCCAUUAUUAUUGAUUAUUAGACUAAGUUACCUUAGGGAUAACAGCGUAAUCUUCCUUCAGAGUUCAAAUUUACAGGAAGGCUUGCGACCUCGAUGUUGGAUUAAGAUAAUAGUUAGGUGUAGUAGCUUGAUUUAUAGGUCUGUUCGACCUUUAAAAUCUU
rnacentral:rRNA from 1 species